rfam:Ixodes scapularis strain Wikel colony gcontig_1108378519998, whole genome shotgun sequence.
UCCUGGUUAGCUGAGUCGGUAAAGUGCUCCACUGGAAAUGGAGAGGUCCCUGGUUCGAUACCAGGACCCGGCU